UCCGGUGUGGUCUAGUGGCUAUGAUAUUGCGCUUUCAAGGUUUAUCACCUGUAAGCACCGCAAGGAUCGGGGUUCGAUUCCCCGCAUCGGAG
rfam:Drechmeria coniospora strain ARSEF 6962 chromosome 01, whole genome shotgun sequence.